GACGAACGCUGGCGGCGUGCUUAACACAUGCAAGUCGAACGGAAAGGCUCCAGCUUGCUGGAGUACUCGAGUGGCGAACGGGUGAGUAACACGUGGGUAAUCUGCCCUGCACUCUGGGAUAAGCCUGGGAAACUGGGUCUAAUACUGGAUAUGACCUUUCUCCUUAUGGGGUUUGGUGGAAAGUUUUUCGGUGUAGGAUGAGCCCGCGGCCUAUCAGCUUGUUGGUGGGGUGAUGGCCUACCAAGGCGACGACGGGUAGCCGGCCUGAGAGGGUGAUCGGCCACAUUGGGCUGAGAUACGGCCCAGACUCCUACGGGAGGCAGCAGUGGGGAAUAUUGCACAAUGGGCGGAAGCCUGAUGCAGCGACGCCGCGUGAGGGAUGACGGCCUUCGGGUUGUAAACCUCUUUCAGCAGGGACGAAGCGUAAGUGACGGUACCUGCAGAAGAAGCACCGGCUAACUAUGUG
rnacentral:rRNA from 1 species